AUAGCAGUGGGCCUUUCAUUUAAAGAGGAAGAGAGAGAAAAAGUCUCAGAGACAACACGAACAAGAGAGAGAAUUAGCCAGAAAUUGCUUAUUAUAAAGAAAUUGUUUGCCCAGCUUUCCAGAAAUGAGAGGAAGAACUUAUUAGGCUCUUUAGUGCUACCUGAUUGUUGGAGUCACCAUAACAUUUCCUCCUCUGUUAGAGUUAUGGUGUGGAGUUUAGAACACUGAUCUAAAUCCAGAAUCCUGCCGGAUCCUCUCUUUGGGCUCUGCUCUUCUUUUUCAAUAUCAUUAACAGUGGACCACAGGGAUCUCAGAUUCUGCUUCGGAGAAGGAGACUCCCAUGACAUUAACAUUUGCUGUGAGAGUUCUGCACAGCUGUGUCACUGCUGACUUUUAACCAACCUCUUUUCUUCCUUGGAAAAGUUUCAGCAAAUUAAAGACAACUCAGCCACCCCAGUUCUGGAGCCAUCUUCCAAGUGAGAUGAACCUUCAAGUAAGCUAUCACAUGUGCAGCAGGACAUUACUAGGUGCGUCAUCCUGGAAGGCGUUGACAAACCAGGAGAGAUUACACAGAACGCCUGAAAAUACCUUCCAUUCAGGAGGGCUGUGCCCCCCAGGCUCGAAGACAAAUCUGAAUCAAGUUCCCAGAGGAGGAAGACAUGAGAACUUUGAAAGUAAGUUAAAAGCAGGACCAAAGGGAAUUGACAAAGGAACUGGAGAGGGUAAAAGAAAUGGAAAUAUUAUGAGGAGAAAACACCAGAUGGAGGAAUGCAUCUCUUUAGGCCGUUUUCAGUUGCAUGCUACAAAGAUGCUCCAGGGUGCUGGAGGUGCACACAGCACACUUCUCACAAAGUGACUACAUGUUAGAUGCGUUGGAUAAGAAGACAGCGUUGGAAGGAAGCUAUGGGAAGGAACAUUGCCCAGCUCUUUGCAGAAAUGUGAGGAAGUUUAAUAAUCUAAGAGCAUGAUCCAAUUCAUUACUCAGAUUCA
rnacentral:lncRNA from 1 species